GGACUGGUUUUAGCUCAGCAGUUAUUUCGACAGUGCACACUGCUUGGUACCUGCCAUUCGUGGUUGUGUUCCAGCUCCACCACCAACUAUGUACAAAACCUGUGGGUUGUUGGUUCGAGACCAGCAGGUGCUCUCCAAUCCUUUA
ensembl:misc_RNA Vault Vault RNA